AUGUACAUUCCUACAACAUAGCGUUAAUGCACCAAAUCUCGUUACAAAUCCACAGUUAAGGGCGCUCAGGAUAGAGUAGUAAUGGAUGGGUGACCACCUAGGAAGUCCUAGUGUUUUACAUG
rfam:Picea glauca, whole genome shotgun sequence.